CCUACGGGAGGCAGCAGUGAGGAAUAUUGGUCAAUGGACGAGAGUCUGAACCAGCCAAGUAGCGUGAAGGAUGACUGCCCUAUGGGUUGUAAACUUCUUUUAUAUGGGAAUAAAACGUUCCACGUGUGGGAUUUUGUAUGUACCAUAUGAAUAAGGAUCGGCUAACUCCGUGCCAGCAGCCGCGGUAAUACGGAGGAUCCGAGCGUUAUCCGGAUUUAUUGGGUUUAAAGGGAGCGUAGGUGGAUUGUUAAGUCAGUUGUGAAAGUUUGCGGCUCAACCGUAAAAUUGCAGUUGAAACGGGCAGUCUUGAGUACAGUAGAGGUGGGCGGAAGUCGUGGUGUAGCGGUGAAAUGCUUAGAUAUCACGAAGAACUCCGAUUGCGAAGGCAGUUCACUGGACUGCAACUGACACUGAGGCUCGAAAGUGUGGGUAUCAAACAGGAUUAGAUACCCUAGUAGUC
rnacentral:rRNA from 1 species